ensembl:lncRNA
GUACAAAGGGAGAAAAAUUAAAAGAGCUAUUUAUAUCGGAUUUUAGAAAUGUGCACAGUUCUUUAGAAAGCCAUUCUUGCAGAGAAAAAAAAAAUGCUGCAUUCCAAUCGAUGUGUCUGGCGAACUCCAGUGGCACAGUUUCAGGGUUAGCUGAUGGUUGUGACUGCACACUGAUGACAGCUGCUUCUACACUGUCACUGUCUACACAGCUGCUGUCUAUACUGCUGUCUACACUGCUGCUGCUGUCUACACUGCUGCUGCUGUCUACACUGCUGCUGCUGUCUACACUGAUGAUGCUGUCUACACUGAUGAUGCUGUCUAUACUGCUGCUGCUGUCUACACUGAUGAUGCUGUCUACACUGAUGCUGCUGUCUACACUGAUGAUGCUAUCUACACUGCUGCUGCUGUCUACACUGCUGCUGUCUACACUGCUGCCUCGGUCUGCUCUGAUGCACCACCUCUACACCACACCACCUCUACACUCCAUCUACACUGAUGGAUGCCAUCUCUACCAGUGCCUUUUAUUCAUUCCCCUGGUGCCCUGAUAAAGUGCGGGUAAGGGCAUCCUUGGGCCUUCUCUUGGUUCCUGGAACUCCUCCUUAUCUUUGAUACAUCUAAAUUAAUUUGUAAUUGACAGUUAAAGAACUAAACUCUCUGGCUAAUUUUAGAUAAGUCGACGUGUUCCCAAGCUGCUAUUUUUUUUAGCCACUCCUGGCCCUCAGCCAUGACCUAAUGAUUCUGCCAUUAGCAGUGUGGACAGCUCUGCGCCUCAGAAACACAGCGCUAUCCACAGUUCGUGUCAACAGCCUGCUCCUCUUUAAAGUCACAAACCCUCUGAGUUCCAGAAGUGUCUGCUGCUAAAUUUGGAUCCUGUCUUUGGUAAUUGUGCUCCUAUUAGGCUGAUGAGAGAGUUAGCAGAACUGGGCCUUUGGGCUUCUGCCCACAGUGUGAGCCAAACAGGAAAUGAUUCUGUGAACUUGACUUCUGAGAUGUGUAAAAGGCCUGUCCAUCACUUUGCUCAUGGCACAGGCACACUAUCAAAAUAGCAUGUGCUGCCUUUCCCAGGAGAUGAACUCUGGGCCUGGCAGGAACCCAGGAUUCAGCAGGAGUGAAAGUCUUUACUGGAAAAGGGGUGGCUGCUCUUUGAUUCUCCUGGAGUCCUGGCAAUGGCCCUUGUGGUGGCCACAACUUUGCCUGACAGGCUAAAUUCACUCCUGUUUGUGGAGAUGUGGCAUGGAAAGUCAACAGAGUAUGACCUCUGGAGGUAGAUGAGCCCAGGUUCAGGCCUUGUGACCUCUGGAGGCAGGGGAGCCUAGGUUCACACACUAGGGUUACCAUUUAUAACAGGAUGAACUGGGAUGGCCAGCCUCACUAAUGAUGGAUGAUAUCAUGUGUGGAAAGGACUGAGUUCAGAGAGCAUGUACAGGAAGAAGGGGCUGAGGUUCUCUCUCUGGCGCCAAUGAUGCACUUGACAUGAGUUUCUGAGUAUGGUAGUCAAGGUCCUCUAGAGAAACAGAAUGUAUAGAAUGCAUAUGUAUUUGAAAAGGAGAUUUACAUCACUGUUUGCGUAAUAGGGGCUGGGGAGUCCAACAAUGGAUGUUUGCAUAGAGGAGAGCCCAAGAAGAUUGCAGCUACUCAGUCUAUGAAGCUGUGUACCUCCAUAAUCCCAAUGUAAUGCUGAAACCUAGAAAGAUUCUUGGAGAGCUUCUGGAAUUCAGUCUACAUUAGAAGAUGAAAGGAAUUGAAGUCUGCCAUCUGUGAAGUGUAACAGCAGUGUAGAUUCACUCAUCAGCAAGACACAAACAACAAACACUGCCUAACCUUGGCCUCUUCAUGUCUGGGCUGGCUGGUUGAUGGUGUUGCCUACUCUGAGAGAAAGUCUUACACUGUCAAUUAAUACUUUCUGGAAAUACUCUUUACAGACUUGCCCAGAGUCACGUCUCUUAACUGAGCUCUCAUCCAGUCAAACCGACAACCAAGACUAACCAUUAAACUUGGAUUAGGAAGUUUGCUUCUCCUUCUGUAAAAAGAUGGCAAAUGAAUAAUCUGUGCUAUUCAUUUUAGUAUUGAUCAACUGAAAAAUCUAAAAUCUAGUGAUAUAUUUGUAAUGUCUGUCAUGGCUGAGUAGUAGGUGGUUAAGAAGAGCAUUCCAUGCGUUUCUGUCUCCCUUCUGGAAUGUAAGCUCUGAAGCUAAACUUGAACAAUAAUCCAAAGCAUUUUUGCUUCUUAUUCUUCAUAAGGUCUAUUCUAAUCCAAUGGUUGCUGGGUUUUAAACACCCAAACCCCACAGAGACCUUGAGUUUCAAAAUGGCAGACACUAUAACCCGCAAGAAAAACAUUAAUAAUCUUACCCUAUAUAUAAAGGAUUGACAUCUCAGAUUCGGGGACAAAUUGCCCAGAAUCCUGCAGUAAGAUGAUAGAAGAUAACAGGUACACUGUCAGGAAGGCCUGGACAGAAGUCCUCAUGUUACUGUCUGUGAGAAGUGGGAAUGUACUAGGGUGUGGUCUAUACUUGUCCCAGAAGGGGUUUUUCCAGCUUUGUUUCUGUGAUUCAGAACACCCCCACCCCAAAGAAUCCCUCAGACAGCAUGAAGAGUCUUUUUAGGCUUCAACUCUAGCCUAUGCAAUGACCUUCAGUAGGUCACUUUUUAGGAUCUUUACCCAUGCUGUGUGCCCAGCUCAAGAGACGCAUCCCCCGGAGUACAGGAGCUGAUCAGCAGACCCAGGUGUCCUUUCUCAGGACAUGCUAAGAGAACUCCAGAGAUCUGAGGUCCAGAGGGGCUUUCCCUUUAAAAGGCAUCAACAAGGAAGUGUGUGUGUGUGUGUGUGUGUGUGUGUGUGUGUGUGUGU